rnacentral:rRNA from 1 species
CUACGUGCAGCCGCGGUAAUACGUAGGUGGCAAGCGUUGUCCGGAAUUAUUGGGCGUAAAGCGCGCGCAGGCGGUCCUUUAAGUCUGAUGUGAAAGCCCACGGCUCAACCGUGGAGGGUCAUUGGAAACUGGGGGACUUGAGUGCAGAAGAGGAAAGUGGAAUUCCACGUGUAGCGGUGAAAUGCGUAGAGAUGUGGAGGAACACCAGUGGCGAAGGCGACUUUCUGGUCUGUAACUGACGCUGAGGCGCGAAAGCGUGGGGAGCAAACAGGAUUAGAUACCCUGGUAGUCC